UACAGUCUACCACCUAAAAUUCAGCCAUCUUACCGCAAAAAUGAUUAUUCUCAACAAACCAUAAGGACAUUGGUACUUUAUACUUCAUAUUUGGAGCAUGAGCAGGAAUAGUAGGAACAUCAAUAAGAAUACUUAUUCGUGCUGAACUUGGCCAACCCGGAUCUCUAAUUGGGGAUGACCAGAUUUAUAAUGUUAUUAUUACAGCUCACGCAUUUGUAAUAAUUUUCUUUAUAGUAAUACCUAUUAUAAUUGGUGGAUUUGGUAAUUGACUUGUUCCACUAAUAAUUGGUGCACCAGAUAUAGCAUUUCCACGAAUAAAUAAUAUAAUUUUUGAUUACUACCACCUUCACUAACCCUUCUUCUUACAUCUUCUAUAGUAGAUAAUGGUGCUGGUACAGGAUGAACAGUUUACCCUCCUCUAGCAGGAGCUAUUGCACACGGGGGUGCAUCUGUAGAUCUAGCUAUUUUUUCACUGCACUUAGCAGGUGUAUCAUCUAUUCUUGGUGCAGUGAAUUUCAUUACAACAGCAAUUAAUAUACGAUCAGAAAGUAUAACUUUAGAUCAAACACCUUUAUUUGUAUGAUCUGUAGCUAUUACAGCAUUACUUCUCCUUCUUUCACUUCCAGUUUUAGCAGGAGCUAUUACUAUAUUAUUAACAGAUCGAAAUUUAAAUACAUCAUUCUUUGACCCUGCAGGAGGGGGUGACCCAAUUCUAUAUCAACAUCUAUUUUGAUUCUUUGGACACCCAGAAGUUUAUAUUUUAAUUCUACCGGGGUUCGGAAUUAUUUCACAUAUUGUAUGUCAAGAAAGAGGAAAAAUUGAAUCAUUUGGAACAUUAGGUAUAAUUUAUGCUAUACUAUCAAUUGGACUAAUAGGAUUUAUUGUAUGAGCACAUCAUAUAUUUACAGUAGGAAUGGAUGUUGACACACGAGCAUAUUUUACAUCAGCAACAAUAAUUAUUGCUGUACCUACAGGAAUUAAGGUAUUUAGAUGAUUAGCUACAUUAUAUGGAACUAAAUUCAAGUUCAAUCCACCAUUAUUAUGAGCUCUAGGAUUUAUUUUCCUAUUUACAAUUGGUGGAUUAACAGGAUUAGUAUUAGCAAAUUCAUCACUUGAUAUUGUAUUACAUGAUACAUAUUAUGUAGUAGCCCACUUUCAUUACGUAUUAUCUAUAGGAGCAGUAUUUGCAAUUAUAGGAGGUGUCAUUCAAUGAUAUCCACUAUUUACAGGAUUAACUAUAAAUAAUACAUGAUUAAAAAUCCAAUUUACAAUUAUAUUCAUUGGAGUAAAUUUAACAUUCUUUCCUCAACACUUCCUAGGAUUAGCAGGAAUACCUCGACGAUACUCUGACUACCCAGACGCAUAUACAUCAUGAAACGUAGUAUCAAGAAUUGGGUCUACAAUUUCUAUUGUAGGAAUCAUUAUAUCAAUUGUAAUUAUAUGAGAAAGAAUGAUUACAAACCGAGCAACUAUAUUUAGAGCUAACAUAAGAAGAUCAACAGAAUGACUACAAAAUAUCCCUCCUGCAGAACAUAGUUACUCAGAAUUACCAUUAAUCUCUAGAU